CCAUAAUUAUUUCAUAAUAUGAAAUAAAAAAUUUUAAUUAUUGAUAAAUGGCACACAGUUUAGACAAAGAUCAGGAUCAUAUAUUAUGAUGAGAGAUAAAUGAGCAGUCAAAUUAUAUGGGAAAGAACUGAAUGUAAACAAAACCAGCUGUUUCAAUAUUUUCACUUCUAGAAUUUUCUGUUUUUUAUCAUUAUUAUAUUUUUUCUGUUAUAUUUUAUUAAGGUAUAAUUUUAUUUAUAAAAAUAUCUAGGAAGGUUGGAAAUUUAAUAGUGAUCACAAUGAUACAGAUAAGCAUAGGAAAAGCACAACCUCUAUACAGAUUCGCUUUUACAUUUCCUCAAUAUAGUCUCCAACAUUGUCCAUGCCCUUUUUCCAUUAUUGUGGUAGCUACAUAAUGCCAUCAGUAGCCCCAAAUGUAUUGAUGUCACAGAUUGAAUGGACUGAUGCAAACUGUCGGGGACUAUAUACUGUAGAUAUGAAUGUCUCAUAGAGAUUCCUUGAGUGUAGGAAAUAAAUCAGUCACAGGGGAUAAAAUCUAGAGACUAUAGUAGGUGGAACAGCAUUUCACAACCCCAUCUUGUGAGCAAGUUGCUGCAAACCAGCCACAAAGCAACGAGCACUGUCACAGAGUAUAAUGACUGAAGUCGUCAGAAAGUGACAUCAUUUCCUCUGCAGGACUUUACACAGGUUAUAUUGCAAGAAAUUUGCAUAGUAUGCAGCAUUUACAGCUUGUCUGUUGAAUACUUGUUCAUUCGAAAUGGUGAGUUGCCCAGGCCUAGAUUCAUUGCUUAUAUUCUCACUUGAAUGCAUUCACACACUUCCAUAUUGUACUGUAUAGUAAUGAAUCAACACUAUAGGCCAAGUCUCUGAUAGCACUCCUUUUGUGGCAUGGCCUCUCACAAUUUCAAUUUUAAGCCAAGAACCUCAAACUUGGAAAACAUAUUCCUCCAGAUGACUUUUUGGUCUGCACAGAUUAUAUGCAAUGUUAGAGUGAGCAUACAACACAUGGAAAGGCAAUACCCUUUACAGUGGUGGGAGGGAAAAGUAUGUACCAAUACAAUCAGGAUUACCCAUGUCACCAUUCCCCUCCAGCACUGCUGUGAUCACUUAAAUUUCCAACUCAUGUAUAA
rnacentral:lncRNA from 1 species